rnacentral:rRNA from 1 species
UGGGGAAUUUUGGACAAUGGGCGAAAGCCUGAUCCAGCAAUGCCGCGUGUGUGAAGAAGGCCUUCGGGUUGUAAAGCACUUUUGUCCGGAAAGAAAUCCUUGGCUCUAAUACAGUCGGGGGAUGACGGUACCGGAAGAAUAAGCACCGGCUAACUACGUGCCAGCAGCCGCGGUAAUACGUAGGGUGCAAGCGUUAAUCGGAAUUACUGGGCGUAAAGCGUGCGCAGGCGGUUUGCUAAGACCGAUGUGAAAUCCCCGGGCUCAACCUGGGAACUGCAUUGGUGACUGGCAGGCUAGAGUAUGGCAGAGGGGGGUAGAAUUCCACGUGUAGCAGUGAAAUGCGUAGAGAUGUGGAGGAAUACCGAUGGCGAAGGCAGCCCCCUGGGCCAAUACUGACGCUCAUGCACGAAAAGCGUGGGGGAGCAAAACAGGAUUAGAUACCCUGGUAGUCCACGCCCUAAACGAUGUUAACUAGUUGUUGGGGAUUCAUUUCCUUAGUAACGUAGCUAACGCGUGAAGUUGACCGCCUGGGGAGUACGGUCGCAAGAUUAAAACUUAAAUGAAUUGACGGGGUCAUAGCUGUUUCCU